UGGCCACUCCUUCUCCGUGUUAUGCGCAAAUUCAGGGAUAAAAGCCCACACUCACCAUUCACUCGCUCCCCUUCCCCGCAUAGUAGCUAGCUGCCCAUCUUCUUCCCGUCCAAAAUGACCGGAGAACACACUCCAACGUCUACUUCCGGCGACAUCAACAUUAAGGCCCCACUUCUUCCGCUUCACGACCAAACCCAAUCAUCACAGAGGCAGAGCCCCCCCUUCACCCUCAAAUCCAUUCUCACCCUCAAGAACUUGUACAUCACCCUUGGACCCUUACUGUCCCUCAUCAUAUGCCUCUUUGUGAAGCUCGAUGCACCCCCCAGCAGCCAGAAGAUGCUUGCGGUGAUUGCUUGGGUUUUCUGUUGGUGGGUCACCGCCGCCGUACCUCUUCCGGUGACAUCCAUGUGUCCCCUGUUUCUCUUUCCUCUCUUUGGUAUUGCUUCCGCUGAUACCGUUGCUCACUCUUACAUGGACGACGUCAUUACGCUCGUCUUGGGAAGUUUCAUUCUCGCCCUCGCCGUUGAACGCUACAACGUACACAGAAGAUUGGCCUUGAAAGUGACGUCGGUGUUUUGCGGUGAACCGCUGAAUCCAAGACUUCUGCUAUUGGGGCUAUGUGCGAUUACGUUCUUCGUGAGCAUGUGGAUGCACAACGUGGCAGCUGCGGUGAUGAUGAUGCCGGUGGCGACGGGGAUCUUGCAGCGACUGCCACCGGCGGAAGAGCAAUCGGAGGUGGUGAAUAAGUUCAGCAGAGCGGUGGUUCUGACGGUGGUGUACGCGACGCCUAUCGGAGGAAUCAGCACUCUGACGGGGACAGGUGUGAACCUGAUAUUGGUUGGAAUGUGGAAGAGCCUUGUCCCUGGGGCCAAGCCAAUCAGCUUCAACACUUGGUUCUUCUUUGGUUUCCCUGUCGCUGUUCUCUUCCUCUUUUGCUUUUGGUUCAUCGUUUGCUUCCUCUAUGUCCGACGGGACUCCUCUCGGGCCUUGUCUUCUUAUCUGAACAGAGCCCACUUAAAGAGGGACCUCCAAGCCCUGGGUCCCAUGUCUUUUGCCGAGAAGAUGGUCUUGUGUGUAUUUGGGUUGCUGAUUAUAUUAUGGAUGACAAGAAGAAUCACCGAUGACAUUCCAGGAUGGGGAGCUUUGUUCCAUGGCCUUGUUGGCGAUGGAAGCGUUAGUGUUAUGGUGGCUGUGUUAUUGUUCAUAAUCCCAAACAUGAAACAAGAGGGGGAGAAGCUAAUGGACUGGAAUGAGUGCAAAAAGUUACCUUGGAACCUUAUUUUGCUUCUUGGAGCUGGGUUUGCUUUAGCUGAUGGAGUCCAAUCUAGUGGCCUAGCAGAUGUGCUUUCCAGAGCCUUAGAUUUCUUGGAAGAUGCCCCAUAUUUGGCUAUUGCUCCUGCAGUUAGUCUUAUGAGCAGCAUUAUUACUGAGUUCAUCACAUCUAAUGAUGCCACCGCCACGCUUCUUAUCCCACUCUUAUAUCACAUAGCCAAGACUAUGCAUGUGCAUCCUCUUCUGCUUAUGGUCCCCGGAGCAGUGGCAACUGAAUUUGCUUUCUUACUUCCAACUUCAACUCCUUCAAAUGUAGUUGGAUUUGCCACUGGCCAUAUUGAAAUCAAAGACAUGCUCAAAAUUGGAGUGCCACUUAAGGUUGCUGGGAUAGCGGUCCUCUCAAUUCUGAUGCCAACUCUAGGAGCUGUUGUUUUUGGAACAAAUGUCGAUAUUCAAUGGCUGCCAAGGAUAAAGUCUCCUUGAUUGCGAAAUCGAUUUCUUCUCCAAAUCCCAUGUUGCUUUAUAAUUUUUUGGUGUUGUCUGUCAUUGACAAUUCCACACAACCUUCCUUCUUACCCCAGUAGAUCAAAGCAUAGCAAUUGUGGGAUACCUAGUAUAUAUUUAAUAUCAAUACUCAAUAAGCAAAGGAGGAGGGUGUUGAAAUAUCUGUCUCUCUACUGAAUUUUCUUUUUGACAGCUUGAGGGAAAGGUUUUUUUUAUCAACUUCUGUUGUAAUCAUUUCAUCCAUCAACUAUCUAUAAGGAAAUAUGGAUUGGAGAUGUCGUCACUGUUGAUUGGUGUAAUUCGAUACCCCCCUUUGUGGGCUACAGCACAGCACCCUCCACCUUCAACCUAACUCCGUCACCUUCUUUUCUCAUCCUUUGGGCUCUUUUAUGGGCCGACCCAUAAAAAAACGAUUCCCCUUCGACGCAGAGCUAUAAAUGGAAGGCAAACCCCAGAAGCAGAAGCAGCACGCAUAAACCUCGUGAAAAGUUGACAGCAUGAUGAGAUUCGAGUACCUUGUUGUUCUCUUUGCCUCAGCGGUUGCGAUGAAUGCAGCUGCUAUGCGAUUCGGUGGUUGGAGCCCCAUCAAGAACAUCAACGACCCCCACGUCACGGAGAUCGCGAAUUUCGCCGUCACGGAGUAUGUCAAGCGAUCUGGGGCGAAGCUGAAGUUGGAGAAGGUCAUCAAGGGUGACACCCAGGUGGUGGCCGGGAUCAACUACCGCCUCGUCCUCGCCGCCAACGACGGUUCCUCCUCUAACAACUACGAAGCCGUAGUCUGGGAGAAGUGGGAGCAUUUCAGAAACCUCACUUCCUUUACUCCUGUUCAUGCUUAGUUAAUAAGACAGAGUCUAUCGUAUUGUUAUCUAUAUAUGUGUUAUUUAUUUGUGCCAAUAAAAGUUAUGCUUAGUUAAUGAGAAUGAAUUGUGAAUCUUAAUU